rnacentral:lncRNA from 1 species
CGGGCCGCCCCAAAAGCUCUCUGGGCCUCACUGCCAGCCGACCUUCUAUAGUAAUCAACUAUUCUCCGAAUCUCUUUUGGAUCCCAACCGAGCUCCCGUGAGAGCCGAACUUCUACUACGAGCGGUCUAUACCGAAUUCCUACAGCCGGCUGUCUACCCCAGAUAUCUACUGUAAGCAAAUUCCAUUCAAGCCUCUACUGUAAAUAAAUUUCUUUCGAACUUCUACUAC